GCUUAACACAUGCAAGUCGAGCGAGAAUCGUUUUGCUGAAGGCUUCGGUCUGACGCAGAAUGAGGAAAGCGGCGAACGGGUGAGUAACGCGUGGGCAACCUGGCCUUAAGAAAAGGAUAGCCCCCGGAAACGGGGAGUAAUACUUUAUGAGAAUGAAAGAGGGCAUCCUACUUUCAUUCAAAGCGCAAGCGCUUAAGGAUGGGCCCGCGUAUCAUUAGCUAGUUGGUGAGAUAACAGCCCACCAAGGCAACGAUGAUUAGCCGGUCUGAGAGGGCGAACGGCCACAUUGGAACUGAGAGACGGUCCAAACUCCUACGGGAGGCAGCAGUGGGGAAUAUUGCGCAAUGGAGAAGAACUCUGACGCAGCAAUACCGCGUGAGCGAAGAAGGUCUUCGGAUCGUAAAGCUCUGUUAUCAGGGAAGAAGAAAAUGACGGUACCUGAUGAGCAAGUCCCGGCUAACUACGUGCCAGCCGCCGCAGUAACAC
rnacentral:rRNA from 1 species